GCCAGGGGCUGUGCGUCUGCUCAGGGCUGUGCAGCCCAAACGGCACUGCGGAGCCCACACAAAGUGGUAUUGCAGUGUUGGCUGAGGAAAAGCAAACAGCUGUCCAUUUCCAUUUAGUGUGGCUGGAACUGGCCAUACAGAUUUUAUUAUAUGCUCUGCAACAGCUCUCCAGACAUUUUGAAAGUUCUUUUCCUGUCCAUGCUUCCGUCAUUGCUUUAUUUUCCUCUCUACCAUAAAGCACUGGUUUCUAGGAAGCAGGGCCCUUCAUAAUGGGAAAAAAAGGCAUUAUUGAGUCACACCUGCCAUUUUAUAGCAAGGUGCCCACUGCCUGGCUGAGCUUACUGCUCUGUGCACAGGAGCAGGGGGACACGGGUGAGAUCUCCUUGUGGAUGGGGGUUCUGGUGGGUGUCCCCAGGAUGGAGCCAGGUGCCCCUGGGCCUGGGGAAGCGUGGCUGGAGCCAUCCCCUCUGCAGGAGACACGGCCACGAGCCUUUUAAGCACUGGAUUUAUUCGUGUGUGUGGUGACUGCGGCUCCACUCAGUGCAAACAGCGGCGUGCUGAAGGGCGGGCAAGGGCUGCGAGAUGGCUGUGUUUAGAGAAAGUCAUAAUAACCAGGGCUCCUAUCCUCUGCUACAAUUUAUUAUCAAAACAAAGCGGCCCCAAGUAUAAAUACAUUGUCUUUAAUAAAAUGCUUUUGAACAUAUCUGACAUACUUAUAUUCAAAGUGGCCCUUUUAUCUUCUGCAGUGGACCGAAGUGAGGGCUGAGUCCCCGUGCAUCCCUGUGAGCAUCGGGGCCGGUGCCCAGCGAGCUGCCGUGGAGCACUGGGGCCACGCAGCGGGGAGGGCUGGGGGGCUCAGAGCAAACGCCCUGGUGCACACCGGGUGCCUGCACCUUCCAGCGGAAGCACUGUGUCAGCGGUGCGAGAACCUGGGAGCAGGCCCAGCACCGUGCACAGUUUUAGAUUGAUGCUGUGUUGGGUGAACUUGGGCUCCCGUGGGCACCCGUCUGCCAGCGUGGUGUGGUGUGGGCAGUGAGGGACAGCACUGCCGCAGUGCCAAAGGUCUCUGAUUGUGCUGGUGAAACCACCAAAUGUGUUCAGUGGCUCAUGCGGCUCCCACGCUUCCUGGGGGAGAAACGUGGCGAGGAAUAAAAGCAGCAUCUGUUAAUUUAUAACCACAGUUCUCAGUGAGACGGCAGCGGGUUGGGAAUGCACGAGGAGCGUCACAAGGAGCAGGGCUGGGCCGCUCACCUCCAGGUCCUUGGAAUAUGAACCACACAGCGCAGCUCCACAGAUGCUGUCCUCGUAAGGGGGC
rnacentral:lncRNA from 1 species